rnacentral:lncRNA from 1 species
UAACUAACUUUUCCAUAAUUAUUGAUCACCUUUUCUGUGUAUGAAUGAAAGGUAACUAGUUUAUUCCCAAUGUUGCAGAAAGCACGUGGUUGUGUUUACAUCUGAGUGAGCGGCGUGUGUGUGUUGCCAACUUGCCACCACACCGUCUGUCUGUCAAGUGUCACUCAUCUAACAAAGCUCGUGGUGCAGGCUUGUACAGGUGUGGCAGGCAGGUGUGGCGCCGAGCAGGUGUGCAGCAGGUGCAGGGUUGCGUGGUAGGUGCGUUCACUGGUCUGGGCUGUGUUGGUGUGUGUUCUGAAGAGAUGACCGCAGACACGCUGGCUGCUGAUGACUAUAUAGAGCCGCACAGAGGCAGUGUACUGUACAAGCUGGAUGGAAGUAUGCAAACCUCGCAAUGAAGAUGGAAAAGUAACAUGAACAAGGUUGUGAAUGUUCGGGUGUGGUGUGGAUGAGCAAGUGAGCGAGCUGGCAUUGGGAGCCGAGCGGGGGAGGCAGCGCGACGUGAGGCUAGCCAAGAUGUAGGAAAAUUGUACUGUACUUACUAUGGAAUGGUGUUGUUACUGUAAAGCAUACUUAAGAAAGAUCAAAAUAUGGCUCAUUUCCUUGUGUAUAAGUUUCCGGUGUGUGUGAGUGUGUAACUGUGGAUGGUUGAGCGAGGGUGUGGGUGCAGGCUGCAGACUGGGGCACAUGACGUGGAGCCUGUGGUGACCGGUGACUGGUGAGGCGGUGACUGGUUCACUCUGGUAUUUACACGACUGCCGAGGAAAUAAUACAUAAGUGUGUGUGUGUGUGUGUGUGUGUGUGUGUGUGUGUGUGUGUGGAGCAAGCUCAACUCACGAUGUUACUUGUAUAACACCCUGCUCCCUUCUGUCCCUCUCCUGUGUCCCGGGGCUGCCACGGACGGUAGUAGACAGGAUAACCUGGUGACCCAUCGUGUAGGGGAGGCAGUUUUUAGCAGCACAAGCGGCAAGACAAGAGUGAACCAGCAGUGCAAGGCAAGCCACCAUGACCUGCAGCCUUCACCACACCCCUCCUUCACUUACUCAAGGCUCAGGCGUGUAGAUGGAAGCAGUAAAAGGAAGGAAAAAGAAGAAAGAAAGGAGGAAAACGAAGAACAAAGGAGAAACAGAAGUGAAAGAGGAGGAGGAGCCAAGCCGCAAUGUUUAGGAUGUACCGGUGUCCCAAGCUGGUGGAUGUCCCGGUGGUGGUGGAGCUGCCCUUUGUCAUGUACAAAAUGGCACCUUUCACCUUAAAAGGCCACGAUUCGAGUCCCGCCCAGCUGAUGCAAACUUCCAAGCCCUGCCCAUCCUGCAGCCCCCGCGAGUGAUCCUGUACGCCCUGCCGCUGCUGCCGCUCCUGCUGGUGGUGACCCUGACAAUGAGAGUCAACCUGUGCUCUGUUCUCAGGGACUUUUACCAUUAUCGUGUGCUGUGAGAGGCGUAGAGCACUGUCUGGCUGUCCCCCUCCCCCCACCGCCCGCUCUCUCUCUCUCUCUCUCUCUCUCUCUCUCUCUCUCUCUCUCUCUCUCUCUCUCUCUCUCUCUCUCUCUGUCUUGUAUCAUAUUGCACCUUUUUGUGUGUUAAAUAGUUUAAAUAAAGGAAAAUAUAAGGAAAAUGUUGACUAAUUAUUACUAUUAUGAUUAUUAUUAUAAUUAUUAUAAUUAUUAUUAUUAUCGUUAUUAUUGUUGUUGUUGUUGUUGUUGUUGUUUUGACGUGUACAAGAUGGUAUAUAAAUAAUUUGCCUGUAUGUUGUGUUACUACUUAUGAAUGGUGUGUGUGUGUGUGUGUGUGUGUGUGUGUGUGUGUGUGUGUGUGUGUGUGUGUGUGUGUGUGUGUGUGUGUG